rnacentral:rRNA from 1 species
UACGAAGGGUGCAAGCGUUACUCGGAAUUACUGGGCGUAAAGCGUGCGUAGGUGGUUCGUUAAGUCUGAUGUGAAAGCCCUGGGCUCAACCUGGGAAUGGCAUUGGAAACUGGCGACCUAGAGUGCGGUAGAGGGUAGUGGAAUUCCCGGUGUAGCAGUGAAAUGCGCAGAUAUCGGGAAGAACACCCGUGGCGAAGGCGGCUCUCUGGGACGGUACUGACGCUGAGACGCGAAAGCGUGGGGAGCGAACAGG